rnacentral:rRNA from 1 species
AUUGAACGCUGGCGGCAGGCUUAACACAUGCAAGUCGAGCGGGGGAAGGUAGCUUGCUACCGGACCUAGCGGCGGACGGGUGAGUAAUGCUUAGGAAUCUGCCUAUUAGUGGGGGACAACAUCUCGAAAGGGAUGCUAAUACCGCAUACGUCCUACGGGAGAAAGCAGGGGAUCUUCGGACCUUGCGCUAAUAGAUGAGCCUAAGUCGGAUUAGCUAGUUGGUGGGGUAAAGGCCUACCAAGGCGACGAUCUGUAGCGGGUCUGAGAGGAUGAUCCGCCACGCUGGGACUGAGACACGGCCCAGACUCCUACGGGAGGCAGCAGUGGGGAAUAUUGGACAAUGGGGGAACCCUGAUCCAGCCAUGCCGCGUGUGUGAAGAAGGCCUUAUGGUUGUAAAGCACUUUAAGCGAGGAGGAGGCUACUCUAGUUAAUACCUAGGGAUAGUGGACGUUACUCGCAGAAUAAGCACCGGCUAACUCUGUGCCAGCCGCCGCAGUAA